GGCAUUGAAUAGACAGGUAAUUCGCCUUAUCAAUAUCCUUUUUCGUCCUACCUUCUCUCUUUAGUUAAUUUAAUUU
rnacentral:tRNA from 1 species